AGGAAAAUAGUUAAAUUAUAACAUUUGAUUUGCAUUCAAAAAUUAUUACACUAUUAAUUUUUCUUA
rnacentral:tRNA from 1 species